UACGUAGGGUGCGAGCGUUGUCCGGAAUUACUGGGUUUAAAGGGUGCGUAGGCGGGCUAUUAAGUGUAAUGUUAAAAGUAUCAGCUUAACUGAUAGCAGGCGUUACAUACUGGUAGUCUAGAAUGAUGGUGAGGCUAUUGGAACGAGUGGAGUAGAGGUGAAAUUCGUAGAUAUCACUCAGAACACCGAUUGCGAAGGCAGGUAGCUAACCAUUGAUUGACGCUGAGGCACGAAAGCGUGGGGAGCAAACAGG
rnacentral:rRNA from 1 species